GCAAUCUGCCUUUCACAGAGGGAUAGCCCAGAGAAAUUUGGAUUAAUACCUCAUAGUAUAAUCAAACCGCAUGGUUUGAUUAUUAAAGUCACAACGGUGAAAGAUGAGCAUGCGUCCCAUUAGCUAGUUGGUAAGGUAACGGCUUACCAAGGCUACGAUGGGUAGGGGUCCUGAGAGGGAGAUCCCCCACACUGGUACUGAGACACGGACCAGACUCCUACGGGAGGCAGCAGUGAGGAAUAUUGGUCAAUGGGCGCAAGCCUGAACCAGCCAUGCCGCGUGCAGGAUGACGGUCCUAUGGAUUGUAAACUGCUUUUGCACAGGAAGAAACACUUGCUCGUGAGCAAGCUUGACGGUACUGUGAGAAUAAGGAUCGGCUAACUCCGUGCCAGCAGCCGCGGUAAUACGGAGGAUCCAAGCGUUAUCCGGAAUCAUUGGGUUUAAAGGGUCCGUAGGCGGUCUUGUAAGCCAGUGGUGAAAGCCCAUCGCUCAACGGUGGAACGGCCAUUGAUACUGCAGGACUUGAAUUAUUGGGAAGUAACUAGAAUAUGUAGUGUAGCGGUGAAAUGCUUAGAGAUUACAUGGAAUACCAAUUGCGAAGGCAGGUUACUACCAAUUGAUUGACGCUGAUGGACGAAAGCGUGGGUAGCGAACAGGAUUAGAUACCCUGGUAGUCCACGCCGUAAACGAUGGAUACUAGCUGUUGGGCGCAAGUUCAGUGGCUAAGCGAAAGUGAUAAGUAUCCCACCUGGGGAGUACGUUCGCAAGAAUGAAACUCAAAGGAAUUGACGGGGGCCCGCACAAGCGGUGGAGCAUGUGGUUUAAUUCGAUG
rnacentral:rRNA from 1 species